UGGGGAAUAUUGGACAAUGGGCGAAAGCCUGAUCCAGCCAUGCCGCGUGUGUGAAGAAGGUCUUCGGAUUGUAAAGCACUUUAAGUUGGGAGGAAGGGUUGUAGUUUAAUACGCUGCAAUCUUGACGUUACCAACAGAAUAAGCACCGGCUAACUCUGUGCCAGCAGCCGCGGUAAUACAGAGGGUGCAAGCGUUAAUCGGAAUUACUGGGCGUAAAGCGCGCGUAGGCGGCUUGAUAAGAUGGGUGUGAAAUCCCCGGGCUUAACCUGGGAACUGCAUCCAUAACUGUCUGGCUAGAGUACAGUAGAGGGUGGUGGAAUUUCCUGUGUAGCGGUGAAAUGCGUAGAUAUAGGAAGGAACACCAGUGGCGAAGGCGACCACCUGGACUGAUACUGACGCUGAGGUGCGAAAGCGUGGGGAGCAAACAGG
rnacentral:rRNA from 1 species